rnacentral:misc_RNA from 1 species
GAUGAAGAACGUAGCGAAAUGCGAUAAGUAAUGUGAAUUGCAGAAUUCAGUGAAUCAUCGAAUCUUUGAACGCACAUUGCGCCCCCUGGUAUUCCGGGGGGCAUGCCUGUCCGAGCGUCAUUACAACCCUCAAGCUCAGCUUGGUGUUGGGCCCCGCCGCCCCGGCGGGCCCUAAAGUCAGUGGCGGUGCCGUCCGGCUCCGAGCGUAGUAAUUCUUCUCGCUCUGGAGGUCCGGUCGUGUGCUCGCCAGCAACCCCCAAUUUUUUUCAGGUUGACCUCGGAUCAGGUAGGGAUACCCGCUGAACUUAAGCAUAUAAAAGCGGAGGA